rnacentral:rRNA from 1 species
UACGUAGGUGGCAAGCGUUGUCCGGAAUUAUUGGGCGUAAAGCGCGCGCAGGCGGCCUCUUAAGUCUGAUGUGAAAUCUUGUGGCUCAACCGCAAGCGGCCAUUGGAAACUGGGGGGGCUUGAGUUACAGAAGAGGAGAGUGGAAUUCCACGUGUAGCGGUGAAAUGCGUAGAUAUGUGGAGGAACACCAGUGGCGAAGGCGACUCUCUGGUCUGUAACUG